rnacentral:rRNA from 1 species
UCUAAUAUGACAAAUUGACGAUUUAAGUCCCUCUCAAAAGAGGCCAUUUACCCAUAGAGGGUGCCAGGCCCGUAUAACGUUAAUGAUUAUUAGAAGAUGUUUCCAAAGAGUCGUGUUGCUUGAUAGUGCAGCACUAAGUGGGUGGUAAACUCCAUCUAAAACUAAAUAUAACCAUGAGACCGAUAGUAAACAAGUACCGUGAGGGAAAGUUGAAAAGAACUCUGAAUAGAGAGUUAAAUAGUACGUGAAACUGCUUAGAGGUUAAGCCCGAUGAACCUGAAUAUUCAUUAUAGAAAAUUCAACAUAUGCCUGUAGUAUAUCAAAAAUACUAUAGAAAUAUUGUGCAUUUUUUCUAUAUAAGAACAUUGUAAUCUAUUAACAUAUUAUAUAUUUAUCAUAAGAUCAUAGGCUUAAGUUUAUUCAAAUUGAGUUGCUUGCAAUUUAACAUCGAAUAAAUGCUUUUGAUUUGAUAAAGUGUUGAUAGAUUUAUCAAAUUAGUGCUUAAAUUCAUUUGAAUUUUUCAAUUGCAUGAAUUUCUUAUGAUUUUUGUGUGGAUUGUAUGCGCUUAAUUGAUUAACAAUGCAAUAGAUUCAGGAUACCUUCGGGACCCGUCUUGAAACACGGACCAAGGAGUCUAACAUAUGUGCAAGUCAUUGGGAUUAUAUAAUUAAACCCAAAGGCGUAAUUAACUUAACUUUUAUAAUGGGAUUAGUUUUUAGUCUAUUUUAUAGUCUAUUAAUUCAAUCCCGGGGGCGUUCUAUUAGUUAUGUAUAAUAGUAUUUAU